GAAGUAUGAUCAACAUGCACAAAAAGCUAUAAAUAGUUAAUGUAUGCAUCUUGAUGAAUUUUUUUAAGUUUAUUUAUUUUGAGGGAGAGAGCAAGUGGGCAGGGGCAGAGAGAGAGAGGAGGAGAGAGCGAGAAAAUCCCCAACAGGCUCCGCACCACCAACACAGAGACCAACGUGGGGCUUGAACUCACAAACUGCGAGAUCAUGACCUGGGCUGAAGUUGGACGCUUAACUGACUGAGCCACUCAGGUGUCCCACAUCUUGAUCAAUUUGAAGGUCCACAGAUGAGCAGGAAUUGUGGUCCAGGAGCUGGACUUCAUGAACUGCACCUGCGGAACCUCAGCCACACCUGGCUUGGUCCAGACUUCAGAGUGAUGCUCUAAGGGGAUGAGACUUUUGCAGAACUUGAGAGCAGCCAUGUGAGCUUGGCAGCAUAUCCUUCUCCAGUCAAGCCUUAAAUGAGACCCCGGCCCCAGCUGACACUUUGAUGGAGCUUUGUGAAAAGCCUUAAAGCAGAGGACCCAGCUAACCCGUGCCUGGAUUCCUGACCCACGGAAACUACAAGGUAAUAAAGGUGUGUUAUUUUUGUCACUAAAUUGAUGUUGAUUUAUUA